UACGUAGGGGGCAAGCGUUGUCCGGAAUCAUUGGGCGUAAAGAGCGUGUAGGCGGCCCGGUAAGUCUGUUGUGAAAGUCCAGGGCUCAACCCUGGAAUGCCGAUGGAUACUGCCGGGCUAGAGUUCGGAAGAGGCGAGUGGAAUUCCUGGUGUAGCGGUGGAAUGCGCAGAUAUCAGGAGGAACACCUAUAGCGAAGGCAGCUCGCUGGGACGACACUGACGCUGAGACGCGAAAGCGUGGGGAGCAAACAGG
rnacentral:rRNA from 1 species